CCUACGGGAGGCAGCAGUGAGGAAUAUUGGUCAAUGGACGAGAGUCUGAACCAGCCAAGUAGCGUGAAGGAUGACUGCCCUAUGGGUUGUAAACUUCUUUUAUAAAGGAAUAAAACGAGGCACGUGUGCCUUUUUGCAUGUACUUUAUGAAUAAGGAUCGGCUAACUCCGUGCCAGCAGCCGCGGUAAUACGGAGGAUCCGAGCGUUAUCCGGAUUUAUUGGGUUUAAAGGGAGCGUAGAUGGGUUGUUAAGUCAGUUGUGAAAGUUUGCGGCUCAACCGUAAAAUUGCAAUUUAUACUGGCAGUCGUGAGUACAGUUGAGGUAGGCGGAAUUCGUGGUGUAGCGGUGAAAUGCUUAGAUAUCACGAAGAACCCCGAUUGCGAAGGCAGCUUACUAAACUGUGACUGACAUUGAUGCUCGAAAGUGUGGGUAUCAAACAGGAUUAGAUACCCUGGUAGUC
rnacentral:rRNA from 1 species